AUGCAGGCCGCCGCAGCCGUCCACCGGCCGCACCUCCUCGCGGCGUCCCCGCUCGGGGGCCGCGCCAGCCGCCGGCCCUCCACGGUCCGCAUGGCGCUCCGCGAGGACGGGCCCUCCGUGGCCAUCGUGGGCGCCACCGGCGCGGUGGGGCAGGAGUUCCUCCGCGUCAUCACCGCCCGCGACUUCCCCUACCGCAGCCUGCGCCUCCUCGCCAGCGAGCGCUCCGCGGGCAAGCGCAUCGACUUCGAGGGCCGGGACUACACCGUCCAGGACCUCGCGGCGCCGGGGGCCUUCGACGGGGUCGACAUCGCGCUCUUCAGCGCUGGCGGGAGCAUCAGCCGCGCCCACGCCCCCGCCGCCGUCGCCAGCGGCGCCGUCGUCGUGGAUAACAGCUCCGCCUACCGGAUGGACCCCGACGUGCCGCUCGUCAUCCCGGAGGUUAACCCCGAGGCCAUGGCCGACGUCCGGCUCGGGAAAGGGGCUAUUGUGGCCAACCCCAACUGUUCCACCAUCAUCUGCCUCAUGGCUGUCACGCCGCUGCAUCGCCACGCCAAGGUGAAAAGGAUGGUUGUCAGCACAUACCAAGCAGCAAGUGGUGCUGGUGCUGCAGCCAUGGAAGAACUCAAACUUCAGACUCGAGAGGUCUUGGAAGGAAAGCCACCAACCUGUAACAUUUUCAGUCAACAGUAUGCUUUUAAUAUAUUUUCGCAUAAUGCACCUAUUGUUGAAAAUGGCUAUAAUGAGGAAGAGAUGAAAAUGGUGAAGGAGACCAGAAAAAUCUGGAAUGACAAGGAUGUAAGAGUAACUGCAACUUGUAUACGGGUUCCUACGAUGCGCGCGCAUGCCGAAAGCGUGAAUCUACAGUUUGAAAAGCCACUUGAUGAGGACACUGCCAGAGAAAUCUUGAGGGCAGCUCCUGGUGUUACCAUUAGUGACGACCGUGCUGCCAACCGCUUCCCUACACCACUGGAGGUAUCGGAUAAAGAUGACGUAUCAGUUGGUAGGAUUCGCCAGGACUUGUCACAAGAUGAUAACAGAGGGUUGGAGUUAUUUGUCUGUGGAGACCAGAUACGUAAAGGCGCCGCGCUGAACGCUGUGCAGAUUGCUGAAAUGCUACUGAAGUGA
rnacentral:rRNA from 1 species